GGUUAAGUGACUAAGCGUACAUGGUGGAUGCCUUGGCAGUCAGAGGCGAUGAAGGACGUACUAACCUGCGAUAAGCUGUGAGAAGUCGGUAAGAGACGCUAUUACUCACAGAUUUCCGAAUGGGGAAACCCACCCGAGAUAACUUGGGUAUCGUUACAUGAAUACAUAGUGUAACGAGGCGAACCGGGAGAACUGAAACAUCUAAGUACCCCGAGGAAAAGAAAUCAACCGAGAUUCCCUCAGUAGCGGCGAGCGAACGGGGAUUAGCCCUUAAGCAUCUUGGAAGUUAGUGGAACGGUCCUGGAAAGGCCGGCGAUACAGGGUGAUAGCCCCGUACACGAAAACAACCUUGAUGUGAAAUCGAGUAGGGCGGGACACGUGACAUCCUGUCUGAAUAUGGGGGGACCAUCCUCCAAGGCUAAAUACUCCUGACUGACCGAUAGUGAACCAGUACCGUGAGGGAAAGGCGAAAAGAACCCCUGUGAGGGGAGUGAAAUAGAACCUGAAACCGUGUACGUACAAGCAGUGGGAGCCCUUCGGGGUGACUGCGUACCUUUUGUAUAAUGGGUCAGCGACUUACAUUUUGUAGCGAGGUUAACCGUAUAGGGGAGCCGUAGGGAAACCGAGUCUUAACUGGGCGUCUAGUUGCAAGGUGUAGACCCGAAACCGGGUGAUCUAGCCAUGGGCAGGUUGAAGGUUGAGUAACAUCAACUGGAGGACCGAACCCACUAACGUUGCAAAGUUAGGGGAUGACCUGUGGCUGGGGGUGAAAGGCCAAUCAAACUCGGAGAUAGCUGGUUCUCCCCGAAAGCUAUUUAGGUAGCGCCUCGGACGAAUACUACUGGGGGUAGAGCACUGUUUGGGCUAGGGGGUCAUCCCGACUUACCAACCCCAUGCAAACUCCGAAUACCAGUAAGUAAUAUCCGGGAGACACACGGCGGGUGCUAACGUCCGUCGUGAAGAGGGAAACAACCCAGACCGCCGGCUAAGGUCCCAAAGUUCUGGUUAAGUGGGAAACGAUGUGGGAAGGCUCAGACAGCUAGGAUGUUGGCUUAGAAGCAGCCAUCAUUUAAAGAAAGCGUAAUAGCUCACUAGUCGAGUCGGCCUGCGCGGAAGAUGUAACGGGGCUCAAACCAGGCACCGAAGCCGCGGAUUUGCACUUAGUGCAAGUGGUAGGGGAGCGUUCUGUAAGUCUGCGAAGGUGUAUCGAGAGGUAUGCUGGAGAUAUCAGAAGUGCGAAUGCUGACGUAAGUAACGAUAAAGGGGGUGAAAAGCCUCCUCGCCGGAAGACCAAGGGUUCCUGUCCAACGUUAAUCGGGGCAGGGUGAGUCGACCCCUAAGGUGAGGCCGAAAGGCGUAAUCGAUGGGAAGCAGGUUAAUAUUCCUGCACGACUUGUAAUUGCGAUGGGGGGACGGAGAAGGCUAGGUGGGCCAGGCGACGGUUGUCCUGGUGAAAGUGCGUAGGUGGUGUUUCUAGGCAAAUCCGGAGACACAACACUGAGACACGAGACGAACACACUACGGUGUGGAAGCCAUUGAUGCCCUGCUUCCAGGAAAAGCCUCUAAGCUUCAGAUUACAAGUCAUCGUACCCCAAACCGACACAGGUGGUCGGGUAGAGAAUACCAAGGCGCUUGAGAGAACUCGGGUGAAGGAACUAGGCAAAAUAGAACCGUAACUUCGGGAGAAGGUUCGCUCUUGAUGGUGAAGUCCCUUGCGGAUGGAGCUGUCGGGAGUCGCAGUGACCAGAUGGCUGGGACUGUUUAUCAAAAACACAGCACUCUGCAAACACGAAAGUGGACGUAUAGGGUGUGACACCUGCCCGGUGCCGGAAGGUUAAUUGAUGGGGUUAGCGCAAGCGAAGCUCUUGAUCGAAGCCCCGGUAAACGGCGGCCGUAACUAUAACGGUCCUAAGGUAGCGAAAUUCCUUGUCGGGUAAGUUCCGACCUGCACGAAUGGUGUAACCAUGGCCAUGCUGUCUCCACCCGAGACUCAGUGAAAUCGAAUUCGCCGUGAAGAUGCGGUGUACCCGCGGCUAGACGGAAAGACCCCGUGAACCUUUACUACAGCUUGGCACUGAACAUUGAACCUACAUGUGUAGGAUAGGUGGGAGGCUUUGAAGGCGUGACGCCAGUUGCGCUGGAGCCGUCCUUGAAAUACCACCCUUGUAUGUUUGAUGUUCUAACGCAGGGCCCUGAAUCGGGCUCGCGGACAGUGCCUGGUGGGUAGUUUGACUGGGGCGGUCUCCUCCCAAAGAGUAACGGAGGAGCACGAAGGUUGGCUAAUCCUGGUCGGACAUCAGGAGGUUAGUGCAAUGGCAUAAGCCAGCUUAACUGCGAGACGGACAGGUCGAGCAGGUACGAAAGUAGGUCAUAGUGAUCCGGUGGUUCUGAAUGGAAGGGCCAUCGCUCAACGGAUAAAAGGUACUCCGGGGAUAACAGGCUGAUACCGCCCAAGAGUUCAUAUCGACGGCGGUGUUUGGCACCUCGAUGUCGGCUCAUCACAUCCUGGGGCUGAAGUCGGUCCCAAGGGUAUGGCUGUUCGCCAUUUAAAGUGGUACGCGAGCUGGGUUCAGAACGUCGUGAGACAGUUCGGUCCCUAUCUGCCGUGGGCGUUGGAUGAUUGAAGGGAGUUGCUCCUAGUACGAGAGGACCGGAGUGAACGAACCUCUGGUGUUCGGGUUGUCACGCCAGUGGCACUGCCCGGUAGCUAAGUUCGGAAUCGAUAACCGCUGAAAGCAUCUAAGCGGGAAGCGAGCCCUGAGAUGAGUCAUCCCUGACCCCUUGAGGGUCCUAAAGGGCCGUUGGAGACCACAACGUUGAUAGGUGGGGUGUGUAAGCGCGGCGACGUGUUGAGCUAACCCAUACUAAUUACCCGUGAGGCUUAACCAU
rnacentral:rRNA from 1 species